rnacentral:rRNA from 1 species
CCUACGGGAGGCAGCAGUGGGGAAUAUUGGACAAUGGGGGGAACCCUGAUCCAGCCAUGCCGCGUGUGUGAAGAAGGCCCUCGGGUUGUAAAGCACUUUCAGUGAGGAAGAACGCCUGGUGGUUAAUACCCAUCAGGAAAGACAUCACUCACAGAAGAAGCACCGGCUAACUCCGUGCCAGCAGCCGCGGUAAUACGGAGGGUGCGAGCGUUAAUCGGAAUUACUGGGCGUAAAGCGCGCGUAGGUGGCUUGAUAAGCCGGUUGUGAAAGCCCCGGGCUCAACCUGGGAACGGCAUCCGGAACUGUCAAGCUAGAGUGCAGGAGAGGAAGGUGGAAUUCACGGUGUAGCGGUGAAAUGCGUAGAGAUCGGGAGGAAUACCAGUGGCGAAGGCGGCCUUCUGGACUGACACUGACACUGAGGUGCGAAAGCGUGGGUAGCAAACAGGAUUAGAUACCCUUGUAGUC